rnacentral:ncRNA from 2 species
CCUCAUCCCAGGGGGUGGCGAGCUAGAGCAGUAUGUGACGAAAGUCAUCAUGUUUUAAUAAGCCUGAGAUGCAAUGCAAACUCCUUGAACCUGAUCCGGUUAAUACCGGCGUAGGAAUGGGCAGUUGAAUUGAU